rfam:Streptomyces griseus subsp. griseus NBRC 13350 DNA, complete genome.
CUUCACCGAACCCAGCCACAACGGACGGCCCUCCGCCCGCCCCUGGCCGUACGUCGCCAGCAACGCCUGCGCCUC